rnacentral:misc_RNA from 1 species
UCUCCGUUGGCGAACCAGCGGAGGGAUCAUUACCGAGUGCAAACUCAUAACCCUUUGUGAACCUAUAUCUGUUGCUUCGGCGGCUCGCUCUCGGGCGAGCCCGCCGGUAAUAUCAGUAUCUCUGUUUGAACCCGACGAUACUUCUGAGUGUUCUUAGCGAACAGUUAAAACUUUUAACAACGGAUCUCUUGGCUCUA